UCUCGGACAGGCGAUGAGAGUAACAGACGGGGAGAGAGUGAAAGUGAAAUCGGAAAUCCGUAAAGAAUUUGAAUAAGAGAGAGCAUAAACACUCUCUCUCUCUCUCUCUCUCUCUCUCUCUCUCUCGGGUGCGCCCGAUCCUAUUAAACCCUAAGAUUGGGUUGUGCCAACGGGCACGAAUUUGUAUAGAGUUGGAUAGAUUGGGUGAGGCAUGGCGUUUGUGAAGGUUGUCAAUCGAUCGGCCUCGGCGUCCUUUGCGCCGGAGGGGCCGUACUUGGCGGCCGGGACGAUGGCGGGGGCGGUGGAUCUGUCAUUCAGCUCCUCGGCCAACCUCGACAUUUUCAAGCUCGACUUCGGAUCAGAUGAUCAGCAGCUCAUUUUGGCCGGCUCGGUUACCAGCUCCGAGCGCUUCAACCGGUUGUCUUGGGGGAAGGCUCUUCCGAAUUCCGAGCAGUUUUCUCUCGGGCUCAUCGCGGGUGGGCUUGUUGAUGGCCACAUUGGGCUGUGGAAUCCCAGGCCUCUGAUCUCCUCUGGUGCAAAUCAAACUGGCACUGAAGCUACUGAAAAUGCCUUUGUUGGUCACCUUUCAAAGCAUAGUGGGCCUGUUCAUGGAUUGGAAUUUAAUGCUUUUACUCCGAAUCUCCUUGCUUCUGGUGCUGAUGAAGGUGAAAUUUGUAUAUGGGACAUUUCACGUCCAGCAGAACCAACUCAUUUUCCUCCUCUGAAGGGUAGUGGAUCAUCAACCCAAGUUGAAAUCUCAUAUUUAUCCUGGAAUAGCAAAGUUCAACAUGUGUUGGCUUCUACAUCAUUAAAUGGCACAACUGUGGUUUGGGAUCUUAGGAAGCAGAAGCCGGUCAUAAGUUUUUCAGAUUCUGUUAGAAGACGGUGCUCUGUUUUGCAGUGGCAUCCUGAUUUUGCCACUCAGCUUAUUGUAGCCUCUGAUGAAGAUAGUUCACCUGCACUGAGGAUGUGGGAUAUGCGGAAUGUGAUGUCUCCGGUGAAAGAGUUCGUAGGACAUACUAAGGGUGUCAUUGCAAUGUCUUGGUGUCCAUUUGAUAGCUCCUAUUUGCUUACUUGUGCAAAAGACAAUCGCACUAUAUGCUGGGAUGUUGUUUCUGGUGAGAUUGUCUCUGAACUGCCAGAAGGAACUAAUUGGAAUUUUGAUGUACACUGGUACUCAAAGUGUCCAGGUGUUAUAUUAGCAUCAUCUUUUGAUGGAAAGAUGGGGAUCUAUAAUAUUGAGGGUUGUGGUCGAUGUCGUGCUGAAGAGAGUGCUUCUGGAGCAGGUGCAGCUUCUUUGAGAGCUCCAAAAUGGUACAAACGAAAAUCAGGAGUGUCCUUUGGUUUUGGAGGAAAGCUUGUUUCAUUUCAUUCUACUAAUGCUGACAAACCAUCAGAGGUUUGCAUUCGAAAUGUAGACACUGAACAUGGUUUGGCAAGUCGUUCUUCUGACUUUGAGGCUGCAAUUCAGAAUGGGCAGAGAUCUUCACUUAGGAUUCUCUGUGAAAAAAAAUCUCAGGAAUCAGAAUCUGGUGAUGAAAGGGAAAUAUGGGGCUUCCUGAAGGUUAUGUUUGAAGAUGAUGGGACUGCAAGGACAAAACUACUUUCACACCUUGGUUUCAGUGUGCCUGUAGAAAAAGAGGAUACUACACAGAAUGAGAUUUCUGAGCAAACAUCUGCCCAUGGUAUUGGGGAAAGUCUUGCAGGUGGUAAAGAAGGGGAUAAUGUGAAGAAAGAGACCAUGAUGCAACUUAUUGAUAAUGGGGAGGAUUUCUUCAACAGUCUUCCAAGUCCCAAAACUGAUACUCCUGUGUCAACGUCUGCAAGUAACUUUGCUACUAAUGAAGCUGCCAUGGGUUGGGAGGAAGCCCCACUAGAGAUUAAUGGAGCAGAUGAGAGUGAUGCAUCAUUUGAUGAUGCUGUUCAACGUGUUUUGGUCGUUGGAAACUACAAGGCUGCUGUAGAACUGUGUAUAUCUGCUAAUAAAAUGGCAGAUGCAUUAGUUAUUGCACAUGUUGGUGGUACUUCCCUGUGGGAAAGCACUCGUGAUCAGUACCUGAAGACAAGUCGCUCUUCUUACCUGAAGGUUGUUUUUGCAAUGGUUAACAAUGAUCUCAAAAGCCUUGUGAACAGCAGGCCUUUGAAAUCCUGGAAGGAAACACUUGCUCUCUUUUGCACUUUUGCUCAGCUAGAUGAAUGGACUUUGUUGUGUGACACACUUGCUUCAAGACUCUUUGCUGCUGGUGAAACACUUCCAGCAACACUUUGUUAUAUAUGUGCUGGGAAUAUUGACAAAACAAUAGAGAUAUGGUCAAGGACUUUGGCAGACACGCAUGAUGGAAAAUCAUAUAUAGACCUACUUCAGGAUUUAAUGGAAAAGACUAUAGUAUUUGCAUUGGCGACUGGGCAGAAACGGUUUAGUGCUACACUCUGCAAGCUUGUUGAGAAGUAUGCUGAAAUCUUAGCAAGUCAGGGGCUUUUAACUACAGCCAUGGAGUACUUGAAGCUUCUGGGGACUGAGGAACUGUCUCCUGAACUGAUGAUAUUACGGGAGCGUAUUGCUCAUUCUAUUGAACCAGAUAAGGGCACAGUGAAGUCUAUGGAAUUUGAUAGCUCUCAGAUGCAAACAUGGCCUGCACAAACUCCUGAACAAACAAGUUAUGGCAUGCUUGAUGCAUCUCAACAAUAUUAUCCAGAGCCACAACCGCAGCUCAGGGCAAGUGGUCCUAGCAGUCAAUAUGCUGAUAGUUAUCAGCCCUCUCUUGGUCCUUCAUACAAGGGAUAUGUUCCUCCUGCCCCCUACCAGCAAGCACCACCACAAACUAUCCAACAACCUAAUAUAUUUGUUCCAACACCUGCUCCCCAGAUUUCUGUUUUAUCCCUUGCAGGGAAGUGUUGCCCCACCACCUGUUCAUGCUCAGUCUACUGUGAAACCAUUCGUUCCAACAAACCCCCCUGCUUUGAAACAUGUUGAGCAAUAUCAGCAGCCAACUUUGGGUUCCCAGUUAUACCCUGGAUCAGCUCACCCUACUUAUCCACCUGGUCCUCCUGGGCCUGGCACAUAUGGCUUUAACCCAUCUCCAGUCCAAACUCUUGGGCAGAAGAUGCCCCAGGUUGUUGCACCUUUACCAAGUGCUAGAGGUUUUACUCCAGUCACUGGUCCUGGAGUUCCGAGACCCAGUAUGAGCCCAGUGCACCCUCCCAGCCCUACUCAAGCUACAGUAAUCCAACCUCCUGCAGUUCCUGCCGCUCCUCCACCCACAGUGCAGACAGUUGACACUUCUAAUGUCCCUGGUGAGCAAAAGGCUGUUGUAACAACUUUGACAAGACUCUUCAAUGAGACAUCAGAAGCAUUGGGAGGGCAAAGGGCAAAUCCAGCUAAGAAACGCGAGAUUGAGGAUAAUUCAAGGAAGUUGGGGGCAUUAUUUGCUAAACUUAAUAGUGGGGAUAUAUCAAAGAAUGCUGCAGAAAAGCUUGUACAGCUCUGUCGGGCUUUGGACAAUGGCGACUUCAGUACUGCCCUUCAGAUUCAGGUACUUCUAACAACCAGUGAUUGGGAUGAGUGCAACUUUUGGUUAGCAACACUUAAGCGAAUGAUCAAGAUGAGGCAGAGCUUUAGAUAAAUGUGAUGUGCACUGCCCUCAGACAAAAUUUAGUAUCUAGGUUCUGUUUGGUUUUUGUUUUUAUUUUUAUUUUUUUGCAAUCAUGGGUUUAAGGUAUGUCCACAAGGAUUCAUAAUCGUUAGAUCAUGGGGUUAGGGUUUCUCCUGUCAUCAUGCCCUUUUUUAACCCAAUUUCUGUUUUUGCAUCUAGUGUUUGCAAUUUUGACAAGAGAUUAGAGAAUAUAGCUCACAUUUGAUUGCUUUUGAUUAUAUUUUCCUUACAUUUAAAAUCUCUAGUUGAAAAUAUAGUUUUUUUUUUUUUUUUUUUUUUUUUUUUUUUUUUUUUUUUUUUUUUCAAAAACAGAUUUUUGUUGUAAUUCUUCUGGUCAGAAGUACAAUAUGAGCCAGUGAUGAAAUUUUUACUUU